rnacentral:tRNA from 1 species
GGCGAUCUGGUCGAGUGGACAGGGCAUGCCGGGCUCGAACCCUGGCAGAUCAUGGCGGCGAUCGUGGUCCUGUUCCUGAUCCUGGGGAUGUUCC